rfam:Desmospora sp. 8437 genomic scaffold SCAFFOLD2, whole genome shotgun sequence.
AGUAGGUCGUCGUCGACCCGAAACCGGGUGAUCUACCCAUGUCCAGGGUGAAGUUGAGGUAACACUCAAUGGAGGCCCGAACCCACCGAUGUUGAAAAAUCGGGGGAUGAGGUGUGGGUAGGGGUGAAAUGCCAAUCGAACCCGGAGAUAGCUGGUUCUCCCCGAAAUAGCUUUAGGGCUAGCCUCGGAACCGGAGUCGCGGAGGUAGAGCACUGAUUGGGCUAGGGGCCUGUCAAGGGUUACCGAACUCAGUCAAACUCCGAAUGCCGCAGACUCAUCAUCCGGGAGUCAGACUGCGGGUGCUAAGAUUCGUAGUCGAAAGGGAAACAGCCCAGACCACCAGCUAAGGUCCCCAAGUGCGUGUUAAGUGGGAAAGGAUGUGGAGUUGCUCAGACAACCAGGAUGUUGGCUUAGAAGCAGCCAUCAUUUAAAGAGUGCGUAAUAGCUCACUGGUCCAGGGACUCUGCGCCGAAAAUGUAACGGGGCUAAACACGCCACCGAAGCUGUGGACGCUGGAGGUUGGAAGUAAGAAGUUGGAGGUAAGAAGGGAUGAUUCGGAGCUUUCGUGAUUUCCGUGUGUAUCAGGCAUCUUAUAGUCUGGCACUCGAAGUACACAAAGCCACCCGAACCUUUCCGGACUUUGAGAAGUAUGAACUGGGAGCUCAAUUAAGGCGAGCUGCGGUUUCUAUACCGGCUAAUAUAGCUGAAGGGUAUGGGAAACGAAGGUCAACUGCUGAUUUUAAGCGCUUUAUAGGAAUUGCUCUUGGAUCAUGCAAUGAAGUCCAGGUUUACUUGGAUAUGGCUCAUGACCUCGGUUAUGUUGAUCAAGCUUUGUAUCAACGAUGGGAGCAGUCAUACAGUAAACUGGGCAGGCAACUUCACAGCCUGCUGGAUAAAUGGAAGUCCAACAUCUGACCUCUUACUUCUGACCUCCAGUGUGGUAGGGGAGCGUCCCCAGUGCAUCGAAGUCGUGUCGUGAGGCGCGGUGGAGUGCUGGGGAGUGAGAAUGCCGGUGUGAGUAACGAAAAGAGGGGUGAGAAUCCCCUCCGCCGAAAGCCUAAGGUUUCCUGAGGAAGGUUCGUCCGCUCAGGGUAAGUCGGGACCUAAGCCGAGGCUGAAAAGCGUAGGCGAUGGACAACAGGUGGAAAUUCCUGUACCACCUUCCGCCGUUUGAGUGACGGGGGGACGCAGGAGGGUAGGAGAUCGCGCUGUUGGAUAUGCGCGUCCAAGCGGUGAGGCUGAAGGGAGAGGCAAAUCCAUCCCUUCAAGGCUGGGCCGUGAUGGCGAGGGAAAUGACAGUACCGAAGUCUUUGAUCUCACACUGCCAAGAAAAGCCUCUAGCGAGGCGGAAGGUGCCCGUACCGCAAACCGACACAGGUAGGCGAGGAGAGAAUCCUCAGGCGCGCGGGAAAACUCUCGUUAAGGAACUCGGCAAAAUGACCCCGUAACUUCGGGAGAAGGGGUGCCCCGGCAGGGUGGUCUUCGGACUGCUCGAGGGGGCCGCAGUGAAUAGGCCCAAGCGACUGUUUAGCAAAAACACAGGUCUCUGCAAAGCCGCAAGGCGAAGUAUAGGGGCUGACGCCUGCCCGGUGCUGGAAGGUUAAGGGGAAGGGUUA